GACGAACGCUGGCGGCGUGCCUAAUACAUGCAAGUUGAGCGCUGAAGGUUGGUACUUGUACCAACUGGAUGAGCAGCGAACGGGUGAGUAACGCGUGGGGAAUCUGCCUUUGAGCGGGGGACAACAUUUGGAAACGAAUGCUAAUACCGCAUAAAAACUUUAAACACAAGUUUUAAGUUUGAAGGAUGCAAUUGCAUCACUCAAAGAUGAUCCCGCGUUGUAUUAGCUAGAUGGUGAGGUAAAGGCUCACCAAGGCGAUGAUACAUAGCCGACCUGAGAGGGUGAUCGGCCACAUUGGGACUGAGACACGGCCCAAACUCCUACGGGAGGCAGCAGUAGGGAAUCUUCGGCAAUGGACGAAAGUCUGACCGAGCAACGCCGCGUGAGUGAAGAAGGGUUUCGGAUCGUAAAACUCUGUUGGUAGAGAAGAACGUUGGUGAGAGUGGAAAGCUCAUCAAGUGACGGUAACUACCCAGAAAGGGACGGCUAACUACGUG
rnacentral:rRNA from 1 species